rnacentral:rRNA from 1 species
CAGUCGCCGCGGUAAUACGUAGGGCGCAAGCGUUGUCCGGAAUUAUUGGGCGUAAAGAGCUCGUAGGCGGUUUGUCGCGUCUGCUGUGAAAUCCCGAGGCUCAACCUCGGGCUUGCAGUGGGUACGGGCAGACUAGAGUGCGGUAGGGGAGAUUGGAAUUCCUGGUGUAGCGGUGGAAUGCGCAGAUAUCAGGAGGAACACCGAUGGCGAAGGCAGAUCUCUGGGCCGUAACUGACGCUGAGGAGCGAAAGCGUGGGGAGCGAACAGGAUUAGAUACCCGCGUAGUCCCUGUCUCUUAUAA